rnacentral:rRNA from 1 species
AGUGAACGCUGGCGGUAGGCCUAACACAUGCCAGUCGAACGGCAGCACAGUAAGAGCUUGCUCUUACGGGUGGCGAGUGGCGGACGGGUGAGGAAUACAUCGGAAUCUACUUUUUCGUGGGGGAUAACGUAGGGAAACUUACGCUAAUACCGCAUACGACCUACGGGUGAAAGCAGGGGAUCUUCGGACCUUGCGCGAUUGUAUGAGCCGAUGUCGGAUUAGCUAGUUGGCGGGGUAAAGGCCCACCAAGGCGACGAUCCGUAGCUGGUCUGAGAGGAUGAUCAGCCACACUGGAACUGAGACACGGUCCAGACUCCUACGGGAGGCAGCAGUGGGGAAUAUUGGACAAUGGGCGCAAGCCUGAUCCAGCCAUACCGCGUGGGUGAAGAAGGCCUUCGGGUUGUAAAGCCCUUUUGUUGGGAAAGAAAAGCAGCAGGUUAAUACCCCGCUGCUCUGACGGUACCCAAAGAAUAAGCACCGGCUAACUUCGUG